GAUGAACGCUGGCGGCGUGCUUAACACAUGCAAGUCGAACGGAAAGGCCCUGAUUUUGUGCGGUGCUCGAGUGCCGAACGCGUGAGUAUCACGUGAGUAACCUGCCCUUGUUUUUGGGAUAACUUCAGGAAACUGGGGCUAAUACCGGAUAGGAGCUCCUGCUGCAUGGUGGGGGUUGGAAAGUUUCGGCGGUUGGGGAUGGACUCGCGGCUUAUGCGCUUGUUGGUGGGGUAGUGGCUUACCAAGGCUUUGACGGGUAGCCGGCCUGGGAGGGGGGCCGGCGACAAGGGUCCUAAGGGACGGCCCAGACGGGAACGGUCGGCAACAGGGGGAAGUAUUGCACAAUGGGCGGGAGCCUGAGACGACGGCGCCGCGUGCGUAAAGACGUCCUUCUGGGUGUGAACCGCUGUCGCCUGAGACGAAGCGGGAGUGACGGUAAUGGGUAAAGAAGCACCGGCUAACUACGUG
rnacentral:rRNA from 1 species